rnacentral:lncRNA from 1 species
AGUCGCUCUGGCGGUGCGGGGCGCUGGCGACGGGACAGGGUUUUUGCUGCCCGGGGCCUAGUCUACCUCGGCACGCUUUUCUCUGAAGGAGACACGCACUUGCACGACGUGGGCCUCUGUGCAGCUCUACUUUGUCCUUAACUCCUCUGACUCAACGUUAUCGCAGUUUGACUCUGGAGCCACUCAGGUUUUUCCUAAGCUCAACUCUAGCCAGCUAGGUUCCUGGUGCUUUGGGGAUGGAGUUUCACUCUUGUCGCCCAGGCUGGUGCAAUGGCACGAUCUCGGCUCACUGCAACCUCCACCUCCCAGGUUCAAGUGAUUCUCCUGCCUCAGCCUCCCUAGGGAUUACAGGCAUGGGAUUACAGGCAUGUGCCACCACGCCUGGUUAAUUUUGUAUUUUUAGUAGAGAUGGGGUUUCUCCAUGUUGGUCAGGCUGGUCUCGAACUCCCGAUCUCAGGUGAUCUGCCUGCCUCAGCCUCCCAAAGUGCUGGGAUUACAGGCGUGAGCCAC